AUUGAACGCUGGCGGUAUGGCUAAAGCAUGCAAGUCGGACGGGCCCGCAAGGGCCAGUGGCGGAAGGGUUAGUAAGAGCAUCGAACGUACCCCGAGGUGGGGGAUAGCGGUGGGAAACUGCCGGUAAUACCCCAUGAUCUCUCAGGAGCAAAGGUUUACCGCCUUGGGAUCGGCGAUGCCCCUAUCAGCUAGUUGGUGAGGUAAUGGCUCACCAAGGCUACGACGGGUAGCGGGUGUGAGAGCACGGCCCGCAACAUCGGGACUGAGACACUGCCCGGACUCCUACGGGAGGCUGCAGCGACGAAUCUUCCGCAAUGGGCGCAAGCCUGACGGAGCAAUACCGCGUGUGGGAUGAAGCGGCUAUGCCGUGUAAACCACUGUCAGGGGACGGAAUCAAUGAUUGUCCCCAAAGGAAGAGACGGCUAACUCUGUG
rnacentral:rRNA from 1 species